ACGCUCGACACCUACGGGAGCAGCAGUGGGGAAUAUUGCACAAUGGGGGAAACCCUGAUGCAGCAACGCCGCGUGAAGGAAGAAGGUUUUCGGAUCGUAAACUUCUAUCAAUAGGGAAGAAAGAAAUGACGGUACCUAAAUAAGAAGCCCCGGCUAACUACGUGCCAGCAGCUGCGGUAAUCUGAGCGGGCUGGCAAGGC
rnacentral:rRNA from 1 species